rnacentral:rRNA from 1 species
GCCGAACCGUGCAAACGUUGUUCGGAAUCACUGGGCUUAAAGGGCGCGUAGGCGGGUUCGUAAGUCUGUGGUGAAAGCCCCCAGCUUAACUGGGGAAGUGCCAUGGAUACUGCGAGUCUUGAGGAGGGUAGGGGCAUCUGGAACACUGGGUGGAGCGGUGAAAUGCGUUGAUAUCCAGUGGAACUCCGGUGGCGAAGGCGAGGUGCUGGACCCUUUCUGACGCUGAUGCGCGAAAGCCAGGGGAGCAAACAGG